CAGCAGCCACGGUAAUACAGAGGGUGCGAGCGUUAAUCGGAUUUACUGGGCGUAAAGCGUGCGUAGGCGGCUUUUUAAGUCGGAUGUGAAAUCCCUGAGCUUAACUUAGGAAUUGCAUUCGAUACUGGGAAGCUAGAGUAUGGGAGAGGAUGGUAGAAUUCCAGGUGUAGCGGUGAAAUGCGUAGAGAUCUGGAGUAAUACCGAUGGCGAAGGCAGCCAUCUGGCCCAAUACUGACGCUGAGGUACGAAAGCAUGGGGAGCAAACAGGAUUAGAUACCCCCGUAGUCCCUGUCUCUUAUAC
rnacentral:rRNA from 1 species